rnacentral:ncRNA from 1 species
CCCAUUGAGUUUAAACAUGUAAUUAAGUGGAGGAAAAUAAACUUAUAAGGUUUCCCCUAGUAACGACGAGUGAACUGGGAAGAUCCCAACAUGAAAAUCAGGUGGAAGCGCUGCUUGAAUUGUAGUCUGUAUAAGCAUCCUUAGUAGGGAACUAGGCCCAUGUCCCCUAGAAGGGGGUGCUUGAGAGGGUGAAAGCCCUGUCGGGCCGAGACCUUGCCGCACCACGAGGCAUUGUCAGCGAGUUGGGUUUUUUGGGAAUGUAGCCCUAAUUGGGUGGUAAAUUCUAUCGAAGGAUAAAUACGUGUGAGAGAUAGAUAAUGAACAAGUACCGCAGGGAAAGAUUAAAAGGAAUUUUAAAAUAGAGUUAAAGAGUGCUUGAAAUUGUCGGGAGGGUAGCCGAUGGAGGUUGAUGAUGCAUCUCAAUCGGUUGUGGAAUGGCUCAAGCUGGUCUAUUGCUUGACUCGAGGUGUGAACCAGCACAGGCUGUUGCAUAGGCAUAAGCGCGGGUGGACUACUGCCUAUUGGUUUGUUGUUGUGGCGGUCGAGGAGCGGAGAAAUCAAGGGAUUCCACCAACACUCAUUUAAAUUUAUUUUUAAUUACUUGCCAAUACUUCUUUUAGUUUGUUGAUAUUG